GACAAGACUUGCUGCAUGAUCUGCGUCACAAAUAGAACUGACUUCUAUUUUAGCCCUUGGCAACGCAGACGUUCGUUGGCGCACCCGAGCAGUGUGGGUGCAAUAAUUGAAUAAUACACAUUUCUAAAUGUAUUUUGCAACGCGAGCGGUGUAGUCAGCCUGUAACAGCUCCACUAUUCGAGUUGCGUAGCCAUCAGCUUCCUGUCAAUGUGACGUUCUACCUGCUACACAGAGCGCAUUGUUUUGAAAGUGGAGAAGAGUCUUUAUUCUAUUUUCCCCUAAUGUACUGUACCAUAUUUAUUGAUUAUGCGUAAGUACAAUAGCGUUGGUCCAGUUUUUCGCAAGUACUCAUUAAAUUGUUGCUAGUGCACAAGUUGCUUUUGUUUAUAUUGUGAACAGUCAAUGUAGCUAGCUAGCUAUAGUUUCUAUUAGCUAGUAGCUUCUUGACUUUAUAAAUAUUAGUACCACAUCCAAUGCUGUAUAGUCGAGAGUACAUUCAACAAAAAUCUGCGUUAUUUCUCAAUAUUUCAAUUAAUACGAUAGAAUGAACGUGCACGUCAGCCAUUGAGAAUUAAACUUCCAUGAUUCUUGAGCUUGGACGCUGCGGUUGGACGUGAUGCAACGUUAGCGCAACACGGGCGGUUUAGCAGCUUUCAUUGAUUUCAAAGGAAGCAUUUCCUCAAUGGCUGAUGGCAAUGCUGGAUGACCGAUGGCUAUAGUGCAGCAGUUCAAGCAUUAAUAAAACCUCCCAGGAAAACCUUCAAAGAACCAGAGUAAAACGUUCUCAGAACCUCCCUGAAACGUAAAAACAAAUGUUCCCAGAACAGGCAAAAUUUUCACUUCUGUUCUCAGAACUCUGUCCCUUCCCUGACAGUACCUAGAACCCUACUCAUGUGGCAUCAAGACAACAUUGGAGGUUGGAAUUACCAGGGACUGGGGGACCAAGUCACCAUGGAAACAGACAAGAGUUCACUCCACAGAGGAAUCUAUAUUGACUUGAAGGUUUCACUUGGUUUUUCUAAAGGGCACAAUGCAGGUGAACUCCAAUCAAGUUGUAGAAACAUCUCAAGAAUGAUCAAUGGAAACAGGAUGCAUCUGAGCUCAAUUUCAAACGGUCUGAAUACUUAUGUAGAGCAAAAAAGUAUUUAGUCAGCCACCAAUUGUGCAAGUUCUCCCACUUAAAAAGAUGAGAGGCCUGUAAUUUUCAUCAUAGGUAGGCCACUCCAGGACCUUGAAAUGCUUCUUACGAAGCCACUCCUUUGUUGCCCGGGCAGUGUGUUUGGGAUCAUUGUCAUGCUGAAAGACCCAGCCACGUUUCAUCUUCAAUGCCCUUGCUGAUGGAAGGAGGUUUCCACUCAAAAUCUCACGAUACAUGGCCCCAUUCAUUCUUUCCUUUACCCGGAUCAGUCGUGUAAAUAACUUCAUUAAAAAUCCUACAAUGUGAUUUUCUGGAUUUUUUCCCCCUCAUUUUGUCUGUCAUAGUUGAAGUGUACCUAUGAUGAAAAUUACAGGCCUCUCAUCUUUUUAAGUGGGAGAACUUGCACAAUUGGUGGCUGACUGAAUAUUUUUUGCCCCGCUGUAAAUAAGUUUUUUAAUUUUUUUAUAAAUUUGCAAAAAUGUCUAAACCUGUUUUUACUGUCAUUAUGGGCUAUUGUGUGUAGAUCGAUGAGAAAAAUAAAAAAUGUAAUAUAAUUUUGGAAUUAGGCUGUAACGUAGCAAAAUGUGGAAAAAGUCAAGGUGUCUGAAUACUUUCCGAAAGCAGAGGGGAAAGAAGGACAUCUGGAAGUGUCAUCCAGGGAUCAUGGCUCCAAAUGGGAUAGACAGGUUAGCUGACAACGUCACGAAAACGAUGCGCGCAAUUCAACUUUGUAGAAGUCUGUGUGUUGUGAGUCUACAUGGCUAAAUCACUAGCAGAAAUGUUAAGAAGCUGCCAUGCGGGAUUUGUAGGUGGCCAGUUUUAUCUUGUUCUUGAUAUCAUGUCUUGUUUUGACUGUCAUGUCUAUGCUAAUAUGGCAAAACUUUACUAGCUAGCUAACCAACAGCUAACGGUGUAUUUGAGAUACAAGUGCUGAUUUUGCAGAUUUAUUUUCAAUAAACGUUGGAGACAAAACAGUUUACAUGUCAACAAUCUGUUUUGCCCCGAAGUUGCGCACAUGGCGGUUGUUGCUAAACAACCAACCCGUUUAUAACUGUCCACCUUUAAAUAAUGUACCCCUGCAUCAACAGCCAGACUAGAGCGUUCCACUGGGAAUAGGUUCCCCCACAGUGCUUCCCAAACCUUUGUGUCGUGACAUCUUCCUUUGGCCCUCAUGAAAAUAAUGUUUUCCUGCCACAGCCGACAGCUGUGUGACCCAGUAGAAAUGACUGACCUACUGUUUGGCCAAUACUGGCUCACAUCAACCCAUCAACCCCCACGUUCACUUGUUUGCAAGAUACCUGUGAUGCCAUAUUAUAGCAUAUGACAUUCACACUUGAAGGUUUAUCAGAAUGUAGUAAUUUCCUGUUGGCUUUUUGCCCACUGGAUUUGCAGAACGCUUUAUUGCUGUCUGGUCAUGUGGCCUCAUUGUACAUGAAGU